GGUAAGGGCCAUCUGACUGACACCUAUCACCUCCUUGGCCACCACGGCUGAUUUGACUUGUUUGGCUUGCUGGGUGGUCAUCCCUUCCUCCCUCAGAGCUCCAUAUGAAUCCCUCCUGAAGCUGUGAAGACAACCUUCCCCCAACAGAGGAAGACUAUUCUUUGGUCAAGAGUGCAUAAGAAACUACCGUCCCCUGCUAGAACCUCCAACAAGUUCUCAAGGUUCAAAGCAACAGAGCCAUCUGAUCAUAAUUAACUGUAAGUGGUGGGGCCUAGUGGAAAGUCGCUGUCAUAAGCCGGGCGCUGGUGGCUCACGCCUGUAAU
ensembl:misc_RNA 7SK 7SK RNA